rnacentral:rRNA from 1 species
UCCAGAGGUCCCAAUCGUUGUUCGGAUUCACUGGGCGUAAAGGGUGCGUAGGUGGCCAGGUAAGUUUGAUGUGAAAGCUCGGAGCUUAACUCCGAAAUGGCAUUGAAUACUAUCUGGCUUGAGGGUCGGAGGGGAGACUGGAAUUCUCGGUGUAGCAGUGAAAUGCGUAGAUAUCGAGAGGAACACCAGUGGCGAAGGCGAGUCUCUGGACGACACCUGACACUGAGGCACGAAAGCUAGGGGAGCAAACAGG